UACGGAGGCCCCAAGCGUUGUUCGGAUUUAUUGGGCGUAAAGGGUGCGUAGGCGGCGUGGUAAGUCUGGUGUGAAAGGCGGGGGCUCAACCCCCGGACUGCAUUGGAUACUGCCAUGCUAGAGGACUGGAGAGGAGAAUGGAAUUCACGGUGGAGCAGUGAAAUGCGUAGAUAUCGUGAGGAAGGCCAGUGGCGAAGGCGAUUCUCUGGACAGUACCUGACGCUGAGGCACGAAGGCUGGGGGAGCGAAC
rnacentral:rRNA from 1 species